CCUACGGGGGGCAGCAGUGGGGAAUAUUGCACAAUGGGGGAAACCCUGAUGCAGCGACGCCGCGUGAGUGAAGAAGUAAUUCGUUAUGUAAAGCUCUAUCAGCAGGGAAGAAAAUGACGGUACCUGAGUAAGAAGCCCCGGCUAACUACGUGCCAGCAGCCGCGGUAAUACGUAGGAUGCGAGCGUUAUCCGGAUUUAUUGGGUUUAAAGGGUGCGUAGGGGGAAUACCAAGUCAGCGGUAAAAAUUCGGGGCUCAACCCCGUCGUGCCGUUGAAACUGAGGUUCUUGAGUG
rnacentral:rRNA from 1 species